UCUAUGCUUGUCUCAAAGAUUAAGCCAUGCAUGUCUAAGUGCAAGCCAAAACAAGGUGAAACCGCGAAUGGCUCAUUAAAUCAGUUAUGGUUCCUUAGAUAAUACACCAAGUUACUUGGAUAACUGUGGUAAUUCUAGAGCUAAUACAUGCAAACAGAGUUCCGACUCGAGAGGGGAGGAACGCUUUUAUUAGAUCAAAACCAAUCGGUCGGAUACGGCGGGGCCUCCGACGGUGUGGCGCGCGAGCGCCCUCCGCCGCGCCCCGUCGCCGGCCGCACACUAGUUUUGGUGACUCUGAAUAACCACUGAGCAGAUCGUACGGCCCCAGUGCCGACGACGCAUCUUUCAAAUGUCUGCCUUAUCAACUGUCGAUGGUAGGCUCUGCGCCUACCAUGGUCGUAACGGGUAACGGGGAAUCAGGGUUCGAUUCCGGAGAGGGAGCCUGAGAAACGGCUACCACAUCCAAGGAAGGCAGCAGGCGCGCAAAUUACCCACUCCCGGCACGGGGAGGUAGUGACGAAAAAUAACGAUACGGGACUCAUCCGAGGCCCCGUAAUCGGAAUGAGCACAGCUUAAAUACUUUAACGAGUAUCCAUUGGAGGGCAAGUCUGGUGCCAGCAGCCGCGGUAAUUCCAGCUCCAAUAGCGUAUAUUAAAGUUGUUGCGGUUAAAAAGCUCGUAGUUGGACCUGUGUCCCACGCCGUCGGUUCGUCGCCCGUCGACGUAACCGCACGGUCAAACAUUGACUAGUGGGACGUCCAGCCGGUGGCGACGCCUGGUCUCGGCGUACGUGCGUCGACUGUCGGUUCCAACCCCCGAGGGGGCGUCGGAGUGCACCGUGAGGCGUGCGCCCGCCGCGCGUGCGCGUCGUCCUCGCCACCGCGGGUGCGCCCUCCGCCGCGAGGCGGUUGAGGCGUCCGCCGGUGGCGCGGCGGCGAUCAAAACGUGCGUGCCGGCGCGGCGCGCGCCCUCGGAUCGACGCUCCGCGUCCGUCAACCGACGGGGUACCGGCGUCGCGUUCAGCCGGGGUGCCGGUCCCAUUUUACUCGUCUCGGUGCUCUUGAUCGAGUGUCUUGACGGGCCGGCUCGUUUACUUUGAACAAAUUAGAGUGCUCAAAGCAGGCGUACAUACGCCCGAAUAUUGUGUGCAUGGAAUAAUGGAAUAGGAUCUCGGUCUUAUUUUGUUGGUUUUCUGGACCGGAGAUAAUGAUCAAUAGAGACUGACGGGGGCAUUCGUAUUGCGACGUUAGAGGUGAAAUUCUUGGAUCGUCGCAAGACGAACCGAAGCGAAAGCAUUUGCCAAGCAUGCUCUCGUUAAUCAAGAACGAAAGUUAGAGGUUCGAAGGCGAUCAGAUACCGCCCUAGUUCUAACCAUAAACGAUGCCAACUAGCGAUCCGCCGGUGUUCCUCCGAUGACCCGGCGGGCAGCUUCCGGGAAACCAAAGUGUUUGGGUUCCGGGGGAAGUAUGGUUGCAAAGCUGAAACUUAAAGGAAUUGACGGAAGGGCACCACCAGGAGUGGAGCCUGCGGCUUAAUUUGACUCAACACGGGAAACCUCACCAGGCCCGGACACUGGAAGGAUUGACAGAUUGAUAGCUCUUUCUUGAUUCAGUGGGUGGUGGUGCAUGGCCGUUCUUAGUUGGUGGAGCGAUUUGUCUGGUUAAUUCCGAUAACGAACGAGACUCUGGCCUGCUAACUAGUCGCACAAACAAUGACGACAUCCGCAUUCGUGCUGUCGGCGACAAAUCAAUACUCUUCUUAGAGGGACAGGCGGCUUCUAGCCGCACGAGAUUGAGCAAUAACAGGUCUGUGAUGCCCUUAGAUGUUCUGGGCCGCACGCGCGCUACACUGGAGGCAUCAACGUGUGUCCGCCCUUGACCGAGAGGUCCGGGUAACCCGCUGAAACGCCUCCGUGCUAGGGAUCGGGGCUUGCAAUUGUUCCCCGUGAACGAGGAAUUCCCAGUAAGCGCGAGUCAUAAGCUCGCGUUGAUUACGUCCCUGCCCUUUGUACACACCGCCCGUCGCUACUACCGAUUGAAUGAUUUAGUGAGGUCUUCGGACCGUCGCGCGGCCAAGGCCCCGACCGUCCGCGGCCGGUGGCCCGUCGAUGUUCGACGGAAAGAUGAUCAAACUUGAUUAUUUAGAGGAAGUAAAAGUCGUAACAAGGUUUCCGUAGGUGAACCUGCGGAA
rnacentral:rRNA from 1 species